UGCAGUCGAGCGCAGGAACCAGAUGACCCCUUCGGGGUGAUUCUGGUGGAAUGAGCGGCGGACGGGUGAGUAACACGUGGGCAACCUGCCUGUAAGACUGGGAUAACUUCGGGAAACCGGAGCUAAUACCGGAUAGUAUUUCCUUUCUCCUGAUUGGAAAUGGAAAGACGGUUUCGGCUGUCACUUACAGAUGGGCCCGCGGUGCAUUAGCUAGUUGGUGGGGUAAUGGCCCACCAAGGCGACGAUGCAUAGCCGACCUGAGAGGGUGAUCGGCCACACUGGGACUGAGACACGGCCCAGACUCCUACGGGAGGCAGCAGUAGGGAAUCUUCCGCAAUGGACGAAAGUCUGACGGAGCAACGCCGCGUGAGCGAUGAAGGCCUUCGGGUCGUAAAGCUCUGUUGUUAGGGAAGAACAAGUACGAGAGUAACUGCUCGUACCUUGACGGUACCUAACCAGAAAGCCCCGGCUAACUACGUGCCAGCAGCCGCGGUAAUACGUAGGGGGCAAGCGUUGUCCGGAAUUAUUGGGCGUAAAGGGCUCGUAGGCGGUUUCUUAAGUCUGAUGUGAAAGCCCACAGCUCAACUGUGGAGGGUCAUUGGAAACUGGGGAACUUGAGUGCAGAAGAGGAGAGUGGAAUUCCACGUGUAGCGGUGAAAUGCGUAGAUAUGUGGAGGAACACCAGUGGCGAAGGCGACUCUCUGGUCUGUAACUGACGCUGAGGAGCGAAAGCGUGGGGAGCAAACAGGAUUAGAUACCCUGGUAGUCCACGCCGUAAACGAUGAGUGCUAGGUGUUAGGGGGUUUCCGCCCCUUAGUGCUGAAGUUAACGCAUUAAAGCACUCCGCCUGGGGAGUACGGCCGCAAGGCUGAAACUCAAAAGAAUUGACGGGGGCCCGCACAAGCGGUGGAGCAUGGUGG
rnacentral:rRNA from 1 species